GACGAACGCUGGCGGCGUGCUUAACACAUGCAAGUCGAACGGAAAGGCCCUGCUUUUGUGGGGUGCUCGAGUGGCGAACGGGUGAGUAACACGUGAGUAACCUGCCCUUGACUUUGGGAUAACUUCAGGAAACUGGGGCUAAUACCGGAUAGGAGCUCCUGCUGCAUGGUGGGGGUUGGAAAGUUUCGGCGGUUGGGGAUGGACUCGCGGCUUAUCAGCUUGUUGGUGGGGUAGUGGCUUACCAAGGCUUUGACGGGUAGCCGGCCUGAGAGGGUGACCGGGCACAUUGGGACUGAGAUACGGCCCAGACUCCUACGGGAGGCAGCAGUGGGGAAUCUUGCACAAUGGGCGGAAGCCUGAUGCAGCAACGCCGCGUGCGGGAUGCCGGCCUUCGGGUUGUAAACCGCUUUCGCCUGUGACGAAGCGUGAGUGACGGUAAUGGGUAAAGAAGCACCGGCUAACUACGUG
rnacentral:rRNA from 1 species